rnacentral:rRNA from 1 species
GAUGAACGCUAGCGGCAGGCUUAAUACAUGCAAGUCGAGGGGCAGCACGGGUAGCAAUACUUGGUGGCGACCGGCGCACGGGUGCGUAACACGUAUACAACCUACCUAUAACAGGGGGAUAGCCUUUCGAAAGAGAGAUUAAUACCCCGUAAUAAGUUGAAUGGCAUCAUUUGACUUUGAAAGUUCCGACGGUUAUAGAUGGGCAUGCGUCUGAUUAGGUAGUUGGUAGGGUAAUGGCCUACCAAGCCGACGAUCAGUAGGGGUUCUGAGAGGAUUACCCCCCACACUGGUACUGAGACACGGACCAGACUCCUACGGGAGGCAGCAGUGAGGAAUAUUGGUCAAUGGCCGGAAGGCUGAACCAGCCAUCCCGCGUGCAGGAUGACGGCCCUAUGGGUUGUAAACUGCUUUUGUACCUGAAGAAACCUGUUUACGAGUAGACAGUUGCCGGUAAGGUAUGAAUAAGCAUCGGCUAACUCCGUGCCAGCCGCCGCCGUAACAC